CCUACGGGAGGCAGCAGUGAGGAAUAUUGGUCAAUGGACGAAAGUCUGAACCAGCCAAGUAGCGUGAAGGAUGAAUGCCCUAUGGGUUGUAAACUUCUUUUAUAUGGGAAUAAACUGUUCCACGUGUGGGAUUUUGUAUGUACCCUAUGAAUAAGGAUCGGCUAACUCCGUGCCAGCAGCCGCGGUAAUACGGAGGAUCCGAGCGUUAUCCGGAUUUAUUGGGUUUAAAGGGAGCGUAGGUGGUUUGUUAAGUCAGUUGUGAAAGUUUGCGGCUCAACCGUAAAAUUGCAGUUGAAACUGGAAGUCUUGAGUAUAGUAGAGGUGGGCGGAAUGCGUGGUGUAGCGGUGAAAUGUUUAGAUAUCACGAAGAACUCCGAUUGCGAAGGCAGCUCACUGGACUGUAACUGACACUGAGGCUCGAAAGUGUGGGUAUCAAACAGGAUUAGAUACCCGUGUAGUC
rnacentral:rRNA from 1 species